GAGGAAAUUUCCCGUCUUGGUAACCUGAUCAGUGAGAUGGAGGGGAAAUGUCAGAAGCCAGUGACUGAAUUGUUGCAGGUCUGGGAACGGGAAGUUCCAGCAGCCAGAGGAGAUUUCUCCUAAGUUAGAAUUAAGAUUCAACGAUUUCUCCCAGAAAACUGUUGCUCUAGUGGAGACUCUCAGGAAGUUCAAAGACACUCUGCCAUCUGCACUAGAGACAAAAAGAGGAGAAUCCCUAGGAACAUUCAGACA